rnacentral:lncRNA from 1 species
CUUUCUCCGUCUCGUCCGACCCUGUCUGUUUCGCCGACCCUUUUCCGCCUCGCCCGAGGACUCGGUUGUAUCCUUUUCCUUGACCCGAGGGGUAUAUGUGUAUAAAUCAGGGACUUCUCUGCGCUAAGUCUGAGGACCCCCAGCACAUCUAUUCCUCUAGUCUAAGGGUCAGAUCAUAAGUUUCUUUCCAUCCGACCCUUUUAUCUUGCUCUCC